UUCAUGUCUUUUGUAUUAAAGAAUUAAAUGGAUGAAAUAUGAAGUUUUAUUAAAAGAAAAAGGGGUGAAAAGAACAAAGUUUUGUCCAUCUUUGUUCAUCAUAGCUGAAAGUUAGAGAAGAGAAAGGAGAGGAGAAAGCUCUUGAGUGUUCGGUCAUUAGGAGGAGGAAAAUUAAAGGCGGUUCGUGUGUGGAUCUCAAUCAAGAUAUCGUCAUAAAAUGUGUGUAAUCGACACCCUCUCAUAGACUAGAUUGGCAAAAGUCGAAAAGCAGAAAUGCCGAAAAGUCAAUAUUUUGGGAAUUUGCGAGUGUGCGAAUGCUCGUAAGAUAGUUGGGUUUGUAUAUUUGGUAAUCUAAAGUAAUAAACUGCAGUACGCGCGAUUUCGUACAUUUUGAUAAUUUGGGCUUAAUGGGCCAAAGAUCGGGUUCAUGGGCCAACGGGCCCAAUUCGGUAAGUAUGCGCGGUAAUCCCCAACCAUAGUGGGCUUUGAGCUGUGAGGGAAUUCGGAGUGGCCACCCGUUCUAAAAGUUUGAUUUUCUUCUGGUGAACUGGACAUCCUUUUAAUUACGUUUGAGGUUUUGGGCUUUUAAAUGUAAUAAGGCCGCUUAUUUAUUUUUGAUGGUUUUUAAUAUGUAUUACUAAGAUAGGUAAUACUUAUUUUAACUGUUGAAAUUGGAUAGCUUUAGGGCGCGUUUUUAAAAACAA